UNCCUCAGACAUGCAAGUCGAACGAUUAAACUUUCCUUCGGGAAAGAUAUAAAGUGGCGCACGGGUGAGUAACACGUAAGUAAUCUACCUCGGGGUGGGGAAUAACAUCGGGAAACCGAUGCUAAUACCGCAUAAUGCAGCGGCUUCUUAUGAAGACAGUUGUUAAAGCAUUUAUGUGCCUGGAGAGGAGCUUGCGGCAGAUUAGCUAGUUGGUAAGGUAAUGGCUUACCAAGGCAACGAUCUGUAGCCGACCUGAGAGGGUGGUCGGUCACACUGACACUGAAUAACGGGUCAGACUCCUACGGGAGGCAGCAGUCGGGAAUUUUGGGCAAUGGGCGAAAGCCUGACCCAGCAACGCCGCGUGAAGGAUGAAGUAUUUCGGUAUGUAAACUUCGAAAGAAUAGGAAGAAUAAAUGACGGUACUAUUUAUAAGGUCCGGCUAACUACGUGCCAGCAGCCGCGGUAAUACGUAGGGACCAAGCGUUGUUCGGAUUUACUGGGCGUAAAGGGCGCGUAGGCGGCGUGACAAGUCACUUGUGAAAUCUCUGAGCUUAACUCAGAACGGCCAAGUGAAACUGUUGUGCUAGAGUGCAGAAGGGGCAAUCGGAAUUCUUGGUGUAGCGGUGAAAUGCGUAGAUNUCAAGAGGAACACCUGAGGUGAAGACGGGUUGCUGGGCUGACACUGACGCUGAGGCGCGAAAGCUAG
rnacentral:rRNA from 1 species